CCGUAUUCAUCGAGCCGGGUCUUCCAGAGUUGUGUCGUCGUUUGGGUCUCUUCUCUGUCUUUGCUGGCGAGGAAUACAUCAUCGGCAAAGAGGAGAGACCAUGGACGAGGUAACUGGAGCUCGGCCGUGAUGGUAUCCAUACAUAGAAUGAAGAGGAGGGGUGACAGAGCUGACCCUUGGUGGACCCCAACUCUAACUGGGAAGGGAGGUGAUAGUCCAGCGGUGCAUCGGACUGAACUGGUGGCAUUGUCGUAGAGGAGCUGUAUCCAUUUGAUGUACGCCUCAGGGACACCAUGCGAUCUUAGGGAGUGCCAUAUGAGGCCCUGUCGAAAGCCUUUUCAAGGUCUAGGAAGGCAAUAUGUACCGUCUUGUUCUUUUCCCCUGUGCUUCUCCAGCAGGAGUCGGGCGGCGUGUAUGGCGUCAGUUGUUCCACAUCCCUUUACAAAACCGCAUUGGUUGGGGGUGACGUUGACAAUUUCCCGAAGACGUGCAUCGAUGACUCUUUCGAAUAUUUUCGUCGUGUGACAUAGUAGGCGGAUAGGACAGUAAUUUGAGCAUUCGGCUACAUCCCCUUUGUUCUUCCAUAUGGGUAUGGUAAUGCUGGUCAUCCAGACCGUUGUUCGUAUGUUCGUAUAUUACUACAUUGAUUUCCUAAUUUGAUUGUGUUGACACACAAACACUGGCUGUACUCUAUGCUAUGAGUGCCUCGGGCUGGUGGGGAGCACACCACAUGAGUUAUUGUGUAUUCAAUCAGACCACAAUCUUUUAACCAAGUGGCAAAAUAUUUGCUCUUAUUUUAUUCUCUUUAGGAAAAGCAGUAAAUAUUUUUAAUGAUAUGACAACAACAACAACAGCAUUUUUGUGACCUGUCAGGUAUAAUAAUUAACUUCAUGCAUAGCAUAGAUUCAGAGAUCUUAAUAGGUAUGUUAUUCAAAACAAGCACCCAGGAAAUAAUGGUAAAGCAUCCAGUGCACAUGCAUUUACACUUUGCCUUGAGUGUAAAUGCAUGUAAACUGCAGCAAUUCAUCUCUCGUUUUCAUUAUUCAAGUAUUAUUUCUAUACAGUUAAUAUACAGUGACAAGCUCACUGCACAGGAGUAUUUAAAAAAGAAUUCAAUAUGCUGAACUUGCCAGCUGUGAAGCUUUGUUUAUUUGCAGUAUUCCUGAAAUUAUUUUUGUUAAAUAUAUGGAAAAAGCUAGAAAUUCUUAUUGUAAAAAGAAAGAAAAUUACAGUAUUUGACGUGUUUUUUUAAUGUUAUCACAUGUCAUUAAAGACAGUUGGUCAGCCUCAUUAAAGUCAACAUUUAAAGAUGGAUAAUUUAGAUAAGGUAAAGAAAAAAACAGAUAAUAAUAAAGUAAGACAAUGAGUACUUACAGUUUUUGCCCGUUGCUUGAACACUAUAAACCCAUGCUUAGACUAAAGUAACACAACUUGAAGCUUUUGUUACCAUACCUCAAACACAUGUACCCAUACCUUAAACAAAAGCGCUCCUUUGCACCCUAGUUGCAAUUAUGCAACACACUUACUCCUUUAUGCAACACACAUGGUCCUGCAUACUACACUCCAUUUCAUACAUAAGACACUUUGUUCACAAAAUUAAAUUUCAGGGUGCCAUUUGGAAAACACAUGUAUCCAAAAUACAAAACACAUCGGGUAAUUGCAACCACUCAAAUACACACCUGAAGGACCUUACUUGCAAAACUGAACACCAAUUAGCCAACUACAAAAAGCCCUCAGUUUAGCCAAUUCAAGAACUUUGCAAGCAUGGAGCAAGAGGAAGAGGAGGAGGAGGAGGUCGAAGAGGCCAUGCACAGACCCAUAUUGCUGAUGAUAUAAGAGCAACUUUGGUGUCAUCAACCAGGGCCUGACUAUGAGGGAAGCUGGGCAGAGAGUCCACCCACAUCUAAGCCGCUUCACAGUGGCAUCUGUAAUAAGAACAUUCCGAAAACAGGUCUGUCUUCACCUCUCUACCUUCUACUCUACUCUACAGUAUAUCACAUUACCAUAUCAAGUGUACAGGGUAUUGCAAGGUGCUAAUGCUCCUUUUGCAGCCAAAGUGGUAGUUUCUGUGAAACAUACCAUGAUUACUUAUAUUGAAGUACAGUGUUGUACAGUGGAUGAUACAGUAUAUACAGUAAAGUACUGUAAGAAAAAUAAGCAAAGCGAUGACAAUAUGUGGUUGUAUUCCUCUAGAAUGACUCGAAGACCUUCUGGGGGAGGACGCCAACGCAUGUUCACACAACAGCAGGAACUUGCUGUUGAGGACCUAGUGAGGGCAGACAAUGCCAUCCGUCUCCACCAGCUACGAAAGCAAAUACUUGCAGACAGGCAAGUGUUCAACAACAUAAACCAUGUGAGCAUCACCACCACCACUGCAUUUCGUUGCCCUGUACCUGUGCAUGUGCAAUGACAGUAAAGUUGAAUUCUAUUCUAUUCUAUCACACGCAUCUUGAGAAAACACAGCAUCACCAUGAAGCAGCUCUACAGAGUCCCAUUUGAGAGGAACAGUGACAGGGUCAAAGGACUUCGAGCUGAAUAUGUACGGAGAAUCUUGGCCAUGGAUGGAGCUGCACAGCCUCAUGAAUUCAUUUUCAUUGAUGAAGCUGGAUUUGACCUGUGCAGAACAAGAUGACGGGGUCGUACUGUAAUUGGCCAAAGGGCAAUUGGGGUAGCGCGGGGGAAAUAUCACAUUGUGUGCCGCCAUAAGCCUUCGAGGGCUUCUGCAUCAUCAUACAAAACUAGGUCCAUACAAUAGCCAACAUAUACUCACAUUUCUAAAUGCUCUCCAUGAUAUAGUUGUACAGAACAGAGCAGAUCAGCCCAUGUUUGUAGUGAUAUGGGAUAAUGUCAGUUUCCAUCGGGCUGCUCUGGUCCAGGCCUGGUUCUCCAACCACAACCAACUUGAAGUGGUAUACUUGCCCCCUUACUCACCAUUUUUAAACCCUAUAGAGGAAUUUUUUUUGGCUUGGAGAUGGCGUGUAUAUGACCGCCAACCACAUGCCCGCAUGCCUCUUCUGCAGGCAAUGGAACAGGCCUGCGGCGACAUUCAGGUGACAGCAAUCCAUGGAUGGUUUCGACAUGCAAGAGGAUAUUUUCCCCGGUGCCUAGCAGGAGAAGACAUUGCUUGCGAUGUCGAUGAGGUCCUGUGGCCAGACCCCAAAAGACGGCGGGAUCCAUGAGCCCACGUAUGCACAAUUGUCAUGAUUUUUUGUGUUCACAGUAUGGUGUUUUUUCUAUUACUGUAUUGUGUUUGUUUGUUUGUUUUUGCUUUAUCUGAAUUCAUGGUACUGCAAUGUACAGUGCUGCAAUGUACAAUAUUGAGUCCUAUUGGCUUUUUUGGUUGUUUGAAAAUGUGUCUCCUGAA
ensembl:lncRNA